rnacentral:rRNA from 1 species
UACAGAGGGUGCGAGCGUUGUCCGGAAUCACUGGGCGUAAAGGGCGCGUAGGCGGCUUGAUAAGCGUGCGGUGAAAGCCCGGGGCUCAACCCCGGGUCGGCCGUGCGAACUGUCGAGCUGGAGCACUGUAGAGGCAGGUGGAAUUCCGGGUGUAGCGGUGGAAUGCGUAGAGAUCCGGAGGAACACCAGUGGUGCAAACGGCGCCCUGGGUCCGAACUGACGCUGAAGCACGAAAGCGUGGGGAGCGAACGGG